UCCCUCUCUCUUUCCAUAACUCUUACGCUUCACAUUUAUCCAAAAUCUCAACAUUCCAAUCCCUUACAAUCAUUUCGCUUGCGAUAUUUUUUUGUCUCAUUCACAAGCCAGCGAGAUAUUUUGGACCUCAAAGAAGGGAAAAUGGUUUUGUUUGGGGUAACUCUCACCAAUGUUAUUGCUACGUAAGAACUUCCUACCCAAUCCUCAGUAGGUUUGCGAUUUUGCAUAGAAGCUAAUUCAAAUCGAAAUCUCCCACGCCAGAAACCCUAAGUUAAUUCCUUAUCUUCAUUCUGAAAGUUUGCAGCUCAGUAAUUGUUAUUUGUAGGUAUUGUUGAUGAUGAAGGAGGAGGCAUAGUUUCAUCGGGUGGGCAUUGAUGUGGCUUUGCAUGCACGAGGAAAAGAUUGGAGAAUAAGAAUUCCUCAACAAAGAUAAUCCAAAAGAGUAAAAACAGAGGCAAGGAAAGUAGUUUCCUAAAAGCUGAUUUCUGUAGGAGAGCUGUGCAAAUCCUCCUUUAGCCAUUUUUUCAAGUGUUACAAAACCCACUUCACUGUUUGAGUUUUCAGUUUUGAUUGUCCAACCUUAUGCACAGUGUCUGAUUUCUCUUUCAUUUAUUCUUUACCUUUAAAUACUGAGGAAUGAAUUUGUGUAGUAAUUGGAUAGGUUUUAUGAAAUGCCCUCUAAUUUAGGCUUUGUUUCCCACCUCUUAAUUUUUUGUAUUCCCCUUCUGUUAGGUCCUUUAUUUUGCAGUGGAAUGUUAUAAACUCUAUGUUGUUUUGUAUAGACAAGAGACUGAGUUGGAAUUGCGCUCAUUAUGUUGGAUGCUGCUUUUUAUUUUACUAAGUAUUAAUAUUCAAAUGAUGCUGCUUUUUAUUUCACUAAGUAUUAAUAUUCAAAUGAUGCUUCUUAUUCUUGCAUGCCACUUUUUGCCAAUAGUUUAUUAGGGAUCAUUCAGACUCUUCUAGAGCAAACUCUAGCAGAUGAAAUGCGAAUCUUAGGUUGCAAUACUCUUGUAGAAUUUAUAGAUUGCUGGGUAUUUGAUUAUUAUACCUUUCUGACUUGUUAGUGUCAAAAUCACUGUAGGGUUGGCUGGUGCAUGUUCUGUGAGUGAUUUACCACCCCCUUCAAAGCAGAUGAACUGAUUUAUAUUUAACGUUGCAGUCUACAUUAUAAGUCUUGCUACUGUAUACGUAUUGCAUUUUGCCUUUAGUGAUAUUGACCUGGUGAGUUAAAAGUAGACAGAUAGUACAUACAUGUUCAACUUGAAGGUUUUUAUCCCGAAACUUUGUCAAUUGGCUCAAGAAGUGGGAGAUGAUGAACGAGCUCUGCUUCUACGUUCUACUGGACUACAAGUUCUAUCCUAUAUGGUGAAGUUCAUGGGGGAGCACUCACAUCUUUCGCUGGAUUUUGACAAAGUGAGUAUUAUUUCCAGACUUUUGUUCCUUUAACCUGUUGAUUGAUACCAACAGUGACAUACAACUAAGGGUUGCAUUGGACAUUGAAGUUUAGUUUUUAUGAUUUCUUUAUUUUUUCCAAAUUUUGAACCACAACUUGGGUUUUGAAUUUUGAGGUUAGUUUACACUUGAAGCUACACUUUUUUUUGUCAAUCUAUUUAAUUUCUUUUUUGUUGCUUGUUGAGUGGGUGGAUUUUGGAAUAGAUUAUAUCAGCGAUUUUGGAGAAUUACAUGUAUCUCCAAUCUAAUUCCGACCUUGCCAAGGUAGAGAAACUGAAUUCACUAUCUCGGAAUCAAUUGGCUCAAGGAUUUCCUAAAAAAGAAGACCGUAUAAAUCAAGGAAAAAUAAUUACUUAUUUUGGGCUUUCUUUAUUUUUUCGUUUCAGUGACAAAAAAUAAGCAUUAAAGAACACCAACCUAUUCCGGUGUGUCAGCUCACGUACCAGUGACUUGGGCAAUUCUAACGUUUCUGGAUCUCUGGGCCCAGAACUUGGCCAGCUACACCAUCUGCAGUACCUGUAUGGCCUUCCCUUGCCUAAUACAUUCCACAUUCAUAAAAUAUUCAAAGUCAAAGUUCGUCUGGAAGCUGAGGAGUUUUAUGCAACUUGUAUGGUACUUGUGUAUGGAUAAUGGAGGUUACAUUAAGGAGCCGAAAGGUCUCUGGCUAGAAAUUGUGGUGGACCUUAAUGGGUGGGCACAUUCGGGCUUCUCAAGUUCUCUUCUCAGGGCAUGUUUGGCUCUCGGUCUUGUAUCUAUCAAAGACACUCACAAAGUCUAAAAUUCAGGUCAUUGGUGCAUGUUGGAUUGAUCAAAGAAACAGAAGCUGAUUUUGAUAAUAGCGAGGCUGUAUCGAAGGGAAGAAGGUCAUCAUAGGGAAAUAAUCAAAGUGCUCUCUCUUGGGAUUUAUACACUUAAGAGGCAACAAAGUUCAAUCCUCGUGAUCAACCUUCUUCACAUUCUGCAACUCAUCAGUGCUAAUAGAUUACUUAGGUUUAAACUUUUGUAGUUUUAUUGGCACGUUGAUUCCAUUUAGGUUUGAUUUGCAAGAUUACUCAGGUUUCAACAUUUGUAGUAUUAUUAAUACUUUGAUUCCAUUUAUAUUAAAUUUGCA